GAGAGGAAGAGAACCAGAGUUCUCUCUGACCUGAAACGCGACCCGGAGACCUGCAAAGAGGAUCCGACCGGGGCUACUCCGUCCGGCCACCUCACAGCGGCGGACCACCGGCAUUAUCUUCGCAUCGACGUCGCCGUCACGUCUGUGGCCUCGGAUCGUGCAUGCACCGGCUGUAGACGGAGGACCGACGACUGGAAGCCCCGAACUCUCUCCGCCAACCUCUGCAAAUUUCGGCGUCUCCGACCACCUUCUGGGCCGUUUGUGUUCCACGACGCCGGCAGCUUUCCGGCUCUUCUUGGCUUCGUCCGGGCUUUGUUAAUCACAAAUUUUUGGGUUGAAUUGCGUCGAAGCCAUCAGCUCCUCACUAGUCGAGUUUUGGCAGUGAGUUUGGCUCGGUUGUAGUUGAUUACCGAAGGACUUCAGUUACCCGAGGAACAGAAGGUUCGCAACUCUCGGAGUACGUGAGAGAACGCAUCGGAAUCCAGGUAGGGAUUCAGGACUCUCCUCGGUUAGUGAUUUUCUUAUAUUGUUAUUAAAUGAUGCAUGUUAGUUGGUAUGGUUUGGUUAUGUUCAAAUGCAAUGCAUACUAACCAAACCAUGUGAGAAAUGUGAUGGCUUGAGAGCGAAGGGUGGCUCUGACUUCCUUGGGUUCGAUCCCCAAAACCUCCGGAGGGUUAGUUACACCGGUCGGACGGUGAGCGAUCGCAAUGACGACCCGAUCCGUGUGUGUAGCUAGGUAGCGGACGCUCUCGCUACGCUUACCUGGUGAUAAAUUAAAUUGAGGUAAGGUCGUGUAGUGGGUCUAUGGGACCGGCCAUCAGGUAAAACUUGGAUUUGGCGCCGUAGUUAUUUAAGCAUCAUGCAUCAGUUUUCAAAUUGAAAAACAUUAAAGUUUGUCGUUUCUCUUAAACACUUGGAUUAAGCAUGUUUUCAUACUGAGGCCUCAAUAAUUUAUUUACCGAUUUUCAAAUCUAGUCGAGAUAGAGUUCCUGUUGAGCAGCGAGGACGAAAGCUCACCCCUA